GAGGGUGUAGCUCAGUGGUAGAGUGCGUGCUUAGCAUGCACGAGGUCCUGGAUUCAACCCUCAGUGCCUCCA
rnacentral:tRNA from 1 species